AGAGUUUGAUCCUGGCUCAGGAUGAACGCUGGCGGCGUGCCUAACACAUGCAAGUCGAACGAAGCAUUAGGGAAAGCGGCUUCGGCCAAUGGAACUAAUGACUUAGUGGCGGACGGGUGAGUAACGCGUGAGCAAUCUGCCUUUCAGAGGGGGACAACACCGGGAAACUGGUGCUAAUACCGCAUAACGUAUUUAGAUCGCAUGAUUUGAAUACCAAAGGAGCAAUCCGCUGAAAGAUGAGCUCGCGUCUGAUUAGCUAGUUGGCAGGGUAACGGCCUACCAAGGCGACGAUCAGUAGCCGGACUGAGAGGUUGAACGGCCACAUUGGGACUGAGAUACGGCCCAGACUCCUACGGGAGGCAGCAGUGGGGAAUAUUGCACAAUGGGGGAAACCCUGAUGCAGCAACGCCGCGUGAAGGAAGAAGGUCUUCGGAUUGUAAACUUCUUUUCUUAAGGACAAUAAUGACGGUACUUAAGGAAUAAGCCACGGCUAACUACGUGCCAGCAGCCGCGGU
rnacentral:rRNA from 1 species